rnacentral:lncRNA from 1 species
GGUUCAGGAGGUAGAAUGGAUGAAUAGUCAGGAAAAGUAGUUAUCAUCUGUAGUAUAAGAGUUGGUAUCUUGGGGUAGUAUAAGGAAGAUGGGAGAGGGGAAGAAAACGCCAGACUGUGAGAGUCAUAAGCCGAGGGCCAGACUGUGAGAGUUGUGAGCUGGAAUAAGCUUGAUGCUACCUCUUUUUUUUGUUUGUUAUUUUCUUUGAAUAAGAGGAUUGAAAGUUUCUGAAUAUUGUGAAGUGAAUUAUGGAAUGGAAAUGUGAUUGGUAUUAUUUGAGAAGAAGAAAGAUUGAAUGCUGAAAUCUGAUUGUAGUUUAGUAGAGAGAAUGAGUUUGUGUUUGUGUGAAACAUUGUAAUGUGAAUGGCAGUUCUGUGUGAAGAAUUCCAGUGAUUAGAAUAAUCUGGACAUCCCAAAGUUCCAAUUAUUCUUGCUGCUAACUCAUCCAUUCUGGAAUAUCUUCAAUCGAUACUUGUGAUUGGCUCCUCAGUUUUAACUCUUAACUGAAACUACUACUCUCGAAAAUACAAGAAAUAUAAGAAAAUGGCACUCUAGUCAACCCAAAACAACACCACAGAAUGACUUUAACUGAUGCCCCACUCCUAUUCUUUUAUUACCUAGUGAUAAUGACAACAUGUUACCCAUACUAUCCAUUAAAGGUAAUGGGAAGUAAUCUUUCUUGGUGGCCACAUUUAACUUUCAAAAAUCUUGACAUAUCUUGAUUUUUCCAUUCUUCUUCGGUACCAUCACGAUUGGCAACACCCAUGCGCUAUGCAGAAUAGGAUAAAUAAAACCCACAUCGAGAAAUUUAUCCAAUUCCUCUUUCACUAAAAGAAAAUAUUUUGGGUUAAGCCGGUGUUGUCUUUGACGAACUGGCAUAAUAUCCUCCUCCAAAAUAAUAUAGUGCUCACACACGUUGGCUAGAAUCUCUUUCAAAUCCACAUACAACUACGCAAAGGCAAAUUUAUAAUAGACAAAAAUUAUUUGGAAAUAGCAUGAUCCGAGUUAGUCACAUCCUCCUGUUGUAGUAAAUAUUUGUCGAGACCUCCACAUUAGUAGACUCCUGCCUUUGCUGUUGAAGUGUUUUGUCCUACCCCAAAUUACGGUGAACCUAUAGCAUUGUCAUCUUCUUCAAUCGAUUGACUCUCGUUGUUUGAUGUAAAUUUUGAUUCUGGCAAUUGAGAUUCUCCAUGAUAUUGUACCGAGUACAUCUGUAAAAAAAUCUGGUCACGACCUUUUUCAAUUGUCAAUGUGCCUCGGUCCCAAUCGUUCUUAGCUUUGGCUUGAUAAGGCCAAGGUCUGCCCAAUAAAAUAAGAUACGAUAAUGUAGAAUUAUGUAAUCAAAAUAUAAUAUAAUCGAUUUUGUAUGUCAAUCCUGUGAUUACAGUGGCAAUAUUGCGUAAGAUUCCCAUUGGCCUUACCCAACUAUAAUCUACCAUUCGCAAGUCCAAUGUCGUAUGUAGCAAUUACUUUAGAUCCAAGUACUCCAUUGUAUCCGCAUUCAUUAAAUUCACAUUGGAGCCACUAUCGACUUAUAUCCUUGGAAUUAAAACGCCAUCGAUUGAUACAUCAAUUGUUGGUGCUCCCGGAUCUGGGUUUAAACUAACUUCAUGAAUUUCUUUAGGACAAGAUCUUUGUCAUAUUAACGCUGAAUUCAAUGUAUAUCGACAUUUUGGUGCUAUAGCCAAAAGUUGCUUCAUUGUAAUUGAAGGUUGAAUAACAUCCAAAUCCUUCAAAAUAUCAUAGGAUUCCAUAUUGAGAGUAAUUUCCAAUGUUCUUUUGUGUUUCAUUGGUUUCGAUUUUACUCUGUUUGAUAGUAAUUCCUUCCUAGCGAUUGAGAUUGCCGUUGAUAACUUUGUCAACUUUUCUACCACUAAAGGUUCCUUUAAUGCGUAAGAUCUUUUAUUGGGAUGUACAAGUAUUUGUACUUGAUUGGUUUGGAUCGAUCUUGAUGGUCCCGACAAAUUGGCACAUGGAACCGAAUUGGAUUCCUCACUCUAUUAAGGUCUCAAUAUUGGGAUACGUCCCAAUAUUGAUAUUGGUUCAUUUAGCCCCAUGGACAGUGCUAUUUACACUUUUGCGAUUGGUUCAUCUAGGUCCUGAAUUGGAUUCUUGUCUUUUUGUUGGCCUCUGGUAAGUACUGUGUUCACUACCUUGACACAAUGUACUGAUGAGUCUCAUUGCACAGGGCCUUUGUCCACUACCGAUUGGCUUGUUUGUAUUUGUUGGUCCCGGUUAUUAUAAUUAAAAGGUGCAUUGAACUGCUGAUAAGUAUGACCAGACUGCUUACAAUUUCCACAUAUUGGAGCAUAGUCAUCAUUGGCCCUUGGAUUAGGACAUUCACUCGUAUAAUGUCUGAUUUCUCUAGAACGAUAGCAAUGAAGUGGUAUCUUGUCAACUCCUUCAGGGAUAAUAGAUAUCUCUACUCGUAUAUAACGACUAGGUCUGUUCCAUGUCAGAUGAGUAAAGGAUCUUGGUUGAUCCAUUGUUAUUGUAGAGUCUGGCAUUGGCUUCGUCAUGGGUGGAUAUUGAUGAUAUCCUGUUUGGUUCAUCGCCAAUCAGUGAGUAUUGGAUACACCUUUUUGGUAAAAUUUAGAGUUUAGGAAAUUAGGAUAAUUCUUAUUUUUUUUAUUUGCUCAAUUUCCAUUCCAACCAAACCUAUUAUUCGUUUGUACUUGAUUGACAUCCCACGAAGUUGGUUGACUCAUUAUCUGGUUAUUGAAUUGUUGUUGCUUCCAUAAAUUCCAACAGUUGGUGGUAAUAUGCUUACCCCCACAAAAGGUACAUUGUACAGUCAUUUGGGAUGGUGAAGAAUAUUUUGUUAUCAAAUGACCUUGCCCCUUACAAUUGCUGCACUAGACAUUGGGACACAUAUUGAUUGGUUUAUAUCUUUUUUCUUUAUCCCUGGCCAAAUUCACAGCCAAUUCAUCCAUUUUUUUCGUCAAUGUUAAUAGCAAUGACUCAUUGGGAUCCCUUGAUACCAAUACAUUUGGUAAUUUCUUUGUAGGUAUUGGUUUUUAAUACCCAAAAUAAGGCGCAUACAGAUGUGAUGAUGAUGGUGGUACAGCUUGCAAUGGAAUGGCAUCUACUAUUCCCUGUGGAAUUGUACCAUAAUCAUUCCUUCCCAAAUAACUUUUCAAUGCGUCAUUCCAAUUUUUCAUUUGAUAACCUCCUUGAGAUGGAAUCAUCGUGGCUCCAAUUGUUAAGUUCUAAUCAUAGUGACAUUCUUGCCAUACUUUUGCUUGCUUAAGAGAUGAUGUAAUGGUGGCUGAUUGGGCCUCCUUUACAAACAUCUUCAAUUUUGGUGGCUGUAGUCUAUUAACCAAUAUGGACAACACAAACGAUUCUGGCAUUUGAUUAUUUGGCCAUUUUCAAAGUAUAUCUACUACACGACCAUAAUAUGAGUAUAUCGCUUCCCUUGGUACCAUUCUGCUGGUCAUUAAUUUUUCUCUAAGAUGUUCUUCAAAACCAAUUAGUCGAAAAUGGGCUAAAAAUGUAUUUUUCAAUGACUCCCAAUUAAUAAAUUGUCCCACAAGUUGGCGGUUAUACCACUCAAAUGCUGUGUCUUUCAAUGUCGCUGGCAGUCAUCUCAGCCAAAUGUCUUUUGUUCUUCCAUUAUUGGCUACACACGCCGUCGAGAAUUGAGACAAAUGUUGAUCUGUAUCUGCACUUGGCAAACCUUGAAAAGUAGGUAAUGGCACGACGCUAGUCGUUUGAUCGCCCUUUGUACCCAUUUGAACUGCAAUCGAAACUGUUGGUCCUCCGAACGUCAUUAAAGAUAUUGAUGUUUCGCUCAAUUCCUUAUUAAAAUAAAAUCUGUCUCCCGCAAAAGUCUUUUUCGGACUUCCACGCCUUUCCGAUUGACUAUUAUUAUCUCCAAAUAAUUUUACUGGUUGAAUAUUAGAUGAAAACGAUAAGUUUUGAUAUACUCUAAAUUGAUCUUUAUUAGCAAGUGAUUUAUGCCGAUCUUCAGAACCAGUCUUGUUAAAAUUGGACGUAUCUCUAAUUGGAAAAAUAUCCAAUGGAGUACCUAAUUCCUCUAUGCCUUCCUCAUUUUUCGUUAACGGCUUCGAGAGGUAUGCUGGACUAUUAGCAGCGCUCUCCAUGAGUGCUCUUGGUAACUUCUUUAACGGUUUGUACUUCUGAAAUAUUAGAAGUCGAUCGUCUUCUGGGUACGAUCAAAUAUGCCGACAAGCAUGCAACCAUGGCUUAAUCUAACUUUGUCGAUGCUUCUUUUUUAAUUUGCAAUCUCGCUCGUUACGCAAUAAAUUUCUUGCUUGUAAUCUCUUUGUUCUUUCUUUUGAUUGCUUUAUUCUCUUUGUUGUUAACUUCUUAUUCUUAAUAACCAUAAUCUUGCUUCAAACACUACUGAAAUUGUCUUCCAUUGCCAAUUUUUACACACUUUUGGUAAUUAAUUCCUAAUACUCAAAGCUAUUAUCACUCCCCAAUAGUGGUGCCAAAAUGUGAUUGCUCGCAAACACUGAGAGAGAGAGAGAGAGAGCUCCGCCACCUAAGAUCUCUUAACUAGGUGGAAAGAGCCCAAAGAUGGUGGCCACAUCUCCACCAUCCAAAUCAAAAAAUUCCUAACCAAGAUCAAAGGUUCACUAUUACACUAAGCCUAAAUUUGAUUUUAAGGCUAAAAAUGCCUAUAAUUCAAAAGCUAAUAUUUUUUUGGUAAAACAAAUACCACCAAUGAUUCUAAAAUAUAUUUUUAUUCCAAAAUUGACUUCUUACAAGGCCAAAUUCAAGUUCUAAAUCAUAAAAAUUAAUUAAUUUGCUAAUUUAGUUGUAAGGUCUAACUAUAAUUCUAAUUUUACUCAGUCUACUUAGAGAUCAACAAGGAUUCUUGCCAUCAAAGCUAUUGUGAUUACCAUUCUUUAAUUUAGACUUCCUUAAACACAAACCUUUAGCAAAUCCAAGAUCCAAUUGUAAUUUGGCCUUGAAUUAAUGUACUUAUGAUUUUUUUAAUUUUUUUUUUUCUAAUUUUCAACUCCAAAUAGUGAUUAAAAUUACUUAAAGAGGGAUUCCACUACAAAAAUUAGCUCACAUCCAUCUUCUAAAAAUCAUCAUUAAUUUAACAAUUAGACUUUAUAUUUUUAAUCUAUUUAAAUUGCAAGAUAAAAUUUAAGCUUACAAAAAUCUGAAAAUUAAAUAGGAAGAUAGAACAAUUAAACUUAAAGGAUUUUCUAACCAUAGUAAAAUUAGGAAUUAGCCUUGGCAUUAAAAACUAAGAUUGUGGAUUAAUUUAAGAUAUAAUUUUUAGAAUUUAGAAGAGAAAUUCUACUAAAAUUUUAAUUUUAGUAUUAAAAGAGAAUUUAAAUCAGAUCAAGAAAGAAAAAAUCAUAGAUCUUCUAAAUUUACUAUUUUUAGAGUUUCUAAAAAUUACUCAAUCUAAUAAUUAAAAUUAUCUAUCUAAUUAAUAACCUAAAAAUAUAAAUAAAGACAUAAAUAACUAAAAAAGCUAAUUUGGAUCGAUAAGUUAAUCAUAUUAGCAUAAAAUUUAGUAAAAAUAUGCUAAAAAUCACAAAAGUGAUUAUAAAUAACUAUUGGAGCUAUUAAUUGUGUUCACACCUUCUAUAAAAGAACCAUAAAUAAAAGAAUAUUAUACUUCACUUUUUAUAUUCUAUGAUAUAUGCCUUUCACAUCUUUUAACAAUCAUCUUUCUCUCUUUUAUAAGAGAAGCUAGGAUAUCAUUGUUAAAUACAGGUUUGUAUAAAGAUUUUAUAAGAAAUAAAGUUAUUUUUUUAAUUUAUAGUUUUAUAUUAAUAUUUUUUAACUAUAUAGUUAUAUUUGUAAUUUUUUAUAAUUUUUAUAUUAUAUUUAUUAUAUUAAUUUUUAUAUUAUAUCUUUAUUUUUAUCAAAAAUUUUGAGCAACAAAGUUUUUGUGGAAUUUUAGAAGUAUUGUCAAUUACAACAAGAAUUGCUGUACAAAAAUUUAAUUGUGGGAAUUUCAUUUUUUGCUUAUAUGAAAAUUUUUAUAUUCAAUUUCAUAAAUAUAUACAUAUAUUAAUUUUUAUUUAUAAAAAAAUAUAUUAAUAUAUUAUUUAAUAAAUAGUUAAUUAACUAUUACAAAUUUUAUUUAUUCAUUUUGGUUUAUAAAAUAUAACAUUUUUAAAAAAUUGAGUUUUUUGCUGUAUCAAGUUGUUACAAAAAUAUGUAUAAUUAUAGUCAAUAUGGAUGUGUAGAUGUAGAUUAUUUUUUUUUUAAAACUAUGACAUUAUAAUUUGACUAAUUAAAUUUUAUGUAGUUAUUUUUAUUUUAUAUGUAUAAUGUAAUUUUGCUAAAAUACUUGAACAACAAGAUUUUAUUAGAAUUUUAUGGAGGUAAAAUUUUGACACUUACAAGCUUACUCCAGUUGUCUAGUGGAACUUGUGUUGUGAAUGUUCUACCUUUAAGAAUGAAUCAGAGAACAAUUGCUCAAUGAUAGCAUAUAGAAUAUGAGAGAGCACCAAAAGAAGCUGAAAUAGUUUCAAAUCCUAAAGCCAUAAAUAAUCUAGGAAGAAUGAGUUUUUUGUGUCCUCAUUAUAAUGCACUAUAUUACUUUAAUGAACAUUUAGCUUGAUUUCUAAGAGAAUAAUUAUAAUAAUAAUGAUAAAAUAUAGAAUAAAAUAUAAUAAUAAUAAUAUAAUAAUAACAAAUAAUAACAAAUAAUAGAUAAAAAUAUUACCAUCAAAGAAAAAUUGCCAUUAUUUGUCAUUAUUAAUAUUAAAUAAGGAUAAAAUAUAGAGAGGAAGUAAAAGAUUUAAUUUUAAUGCUUUUAUUUUUGUAGAAGGAACUUCUAUUUACUUUGUAGAGGCAUAAAUGAACCAAAUCAAAGUAAAUAAAGUAAAAAAUUGAUAUAAGCAUGUUUAGAAGAGAUUUAAAAAUAGGAUAAAGUAAAAUUAAAUAAAAAUUAUCUAAAAUUAAUAUCAAGAAAGGAUCGAUUAUCAACUUGAAUUGAAAUUAGAUCCUAAGGAAUAAAAGUGUAUCUAUACAAUGACUUUAAGAUUCUUUGGUAGAUAUAAGAGUGGAAUUUGAGAGCACAUUUGAGAAAAGAUUUUUGAACUUUGAUUUUAUUUCGAUUGAAUUAAUAUUGAAUUUUGAAGAAUUCUCAAAGUUAGUGAUGUUUUUAUUUGGUUUAGAUUUUGAUAAAUAAAAAUAUAUUUAUAAAUUUGAAGGUUUCUUGAGUUUUGUACCAUAUAUAUAGAUGAAUUUUGGAAAAUCCAUUGAUAUACUAGCUAUAAAUGUGUAUGAAAAUUUUGAAGUCAAUUGAACAAUUAGAUUGAAGUAUAUGAAGGUUUUUGUGGAUUGAGGUCUCAAAAAUUGGAGUUUGAAGAUUAGUGAGUAUUUUUAAGAUCUCGAAUAAUUUGUUAAUUUUAUUGAAGUGAAAUUUUAUUAUAUAGAUACUAGACUAGAUUAUUAAUAUUUAAGUAAAAUUUGAAAGGAAUUCAAUAGCUUAAGAAGGAGAUAUUAGUAUUGGAAGUUUAGCAUUCAUGUUGGAGUAGGAGGCCAUCUAAUAUCUAAUUGGAUUAUCUUGCAUUUCUCUCAAAUAAUAAGUAUGAUUGAUUUUAUCUUUCUUAUGCUUAUUUUUAAUUAAAAUAAUAAUAAGUAUGAAAAUUUUGAGUUAAUAUCAAUAAUUCAAUCAUUAAUUCUUGAGGUUCUAUUUUGCUAGAAGAUUUGAUUUAGGAUUUGUCUACAAUUUGAUAAGGGCUUAGGAUUUGGUCUAGGAUUUGGUUAAGAUUAGGGUUUUCUUAGAAUUCAAUUUAGAACUUGAUUAGAAUUUAAUUGGGAUUUUUCUAAGAUUUAUCUAGGAUUUAGGAUUUUACUAGGAUUUCAUUAGGAUUUGAUUGGAGAUUUAAUUAAGGUUCAAUUAUGAUUUUAAUUAGGAUUUGACUUAAGAUUUAGUUAGUAUUUGAUUAAAAUUUAUAUUUUUAGUAUUAUUAAGGAUUCUUUAUUUUUUUAAAAAAAAAUUAUUUUUUGUUUUUUUUAAAGAUUAUUUUUAUUUAUUUAAAUAUAUUUUAAAGAUUUCUAAUUAUUUUUCUUUGAGAUUAGUUUAGAACUUCUUAGUAUUUCUUUUAAUUUUUUUUAAAAUUUAUUUUAAAUUAAAAAAAAAAUUAUUAGAAUUAUUAAAGUUUACUUGUAGUUUAUUUAAAGAAUGGCUAUUGCUACAUCUUUUACUUGACACACAAAUUUUUUUGGCGCACAUCAAAAAUAUAUUAAGCAUACAAAAAAAAUAUGAUUUUGCUAAUCGCACAAAUAAAUAGGUCAAGCACACAAAACUCAAAAUCUAUAAAAUAACCACUGGUCCAUUUUCUUCAUUCAUUAUCUCCAUUGUUUUGCUUCUGUUACAUGAUAAUUUUCUAAUUUUUUCUCCAAAAAGUGCCUCAUAAUUCUUUGCUUGUGCAAUGCACCUAUAUUCCUAAGUUGGUUCAACCUUUGGUAAAUCAAAACCUGCCUUUAAUAAAGAAAGACAUGGCAACUGUCAUGGCUUGAAAUGUGAAUUAUAGUUAAGUAUACAAAAGUUUUUGCUAUCUGCACACAUCUCAUAAGAAUACAACUAAUUAGACUACAUGCACAAAAUUUGUGUCAUUUUGGAAUUUAGGAUUUUUGUACGCCGAGUAAAAGGUGUUGUGGCAAUAGCCACCCGCUUUAUUUAAGAUUCUAUUAGAAUUGGUAGGAUUACUAUUGCAUUUCUACUUACCUCUUUCAGCUAGGUGCUUUGUGCAUUUUCAAGCAAAAACACACGUAAUACAACAUCAUGAUAUUAUUAUUUGCCUAUGUAAUAAUAGACUAUUAGAAAGGAUUUACAAGGCUCAUCUUGCUUAUUUGCUCCUUUAUUUAUUUUCACAUGGUAGCCGAACCACAAUAUGACAAUAAACCACAUGUCUCGUUUAUCUAAUAUAUUAGGUAAUAAGCCUAUUAAUGAUGCCCUAUCUGAUGUGGAAUUAUUUGUCAUUGACGUGAUUAUAUCCAAAUAUAGUGAAUUGAUUUAGUAUCUGACAUUUCAAAAAUUUCUACCUACUUAUAGUGAGAAACUUAAGAAACACUUAAUUUUAAAAAGUACAAAAUAUACAAUGAUUGGUAAUGCCUUGUAUAAGCAAGGAUAGGAUGGAAUUUUAUGCCGUUGUAUCUUUCAAAGUGAAGUGCAUAUCAUAUUGGAAGGUUGCCAUUUGGAUAGUUGUAAUAGGCAUUUUGUCGAUGAUAGUGCUGCUUGUAAAGCUUUAAUGGUUGGAUGUUGGUGGCCAACAAUGUUUUCAGAUGCACACCAAUAUAUCCAACGUUGUGAUCCUUGUCAAUGAAUCGAUCAACCUAUAGGAACUUUUGCCAUGCUAUUGGUAUCAAUUUUGGCAUAAGUACCAUUUGAAAAAUAGAGUAUUGAUUUUGUAGGAUCAAUUGCUCUAGCUUCACGUAAUGGAUAGAAAGAUAUAUUUUGAUAGUGAUUGAUUAUGUAAAAAAAUGGGCUGAGGCGGUGGCAAUAAAAACUGAUAAUGCCAAUAUAGUAGUCACAUUUUUAUAUUGAGAAGUAUCCAAUCUUUCAUCAAUGGCAAUGCGUAAGGAUGGGACUUCAAAUUCUUUUGGCAAAAUGGCUUCUAUUCCAUAUACCAAAGAAAAAGGUGUAGCUCUUGUAAAAACCUUGUAAGUAGUUCGGUAAGCCCAAAGUGCUGAAGUAAGUUUAAGAUCCCAAUCAUACUCUUAAUCCAUUACAAUUUUUCUCAAUAUCCAAACUAACAUUUGCUUAACACUUUCUGUAAAACCAUUUGUUUGAGAAUGAUAGGGAGUAAACUUUCUAAGAUUGAUGGUAAACAAUGUGGUCAUUUCUUUAAUAGCUUCAUUUAAAAAAUGAGUACCAUUGUCACUCAUAAGGAUUUUUGGACAACCAAAACGAGUUAUGAUAUUUUCAUAUAAGAAUAUGGCAAUUUGUUUAGCAUCCAUUUUUUUACAACUUCUGCUUUUGCCCAUUUGGUCAAAUAUUUUGUAGCUACAAUGAUAUAUUGCAUUUGAUGUGAAGAUGCAAGAUAAAUUGGUCGAAUAUAAUCUAUGCCUCAUUUUUCAAAUGGAACAAGUGGAAGUGAAGGAUUUAAAGGUAUUGCAAGAUUUAAAACAUUGCGUGCAUAUCUUUGGCAAGCAUCACAAGAUCUUACAUAAGACUCUGAAUUGGUAAAUAUUAUAGGCCAAAAAUAGCCUACUCUAAGGAUUUUUUGAGUUAUUAAUUGACUAAAGAAGUAUCCACCACAUGCACUUGAAUGACAAGCUUCUAUUACAAGUGGUACUUCUUCAUAAGUAAGACAACAUCUUAAAAUUCUAUCAAUUCCUUGAUGAUAUAAUUAGUUAGCUAUAAGAAAAAAAUGGUUACUAUUUACUCUAAUCUUUGGUCAUUCAUUUUUGGAUAGAACAUUGGAUAAUUGUUGAGUACUCAAAAAUUCAGCAAUAUGUUCAUACCAUGUAGGAGCGACCACAACAUGGAACAAAUGAGCAUCAGGAAGUUCAUCAUCUACAUCUUGGAUACCAAUAGUUGUAGAUAAUCGUGAAAGGUGAUCGCCUUGUUUGUAUUAUUUUUCCUUUUUGUAUUCCAUUGUAUAAUCAAAUUUUGCUAGAAGUUAUAUCCACCUUACUAAUCUGCAACUUAAAUUUGGUUUGUUCACAAUAUAUCUAAGAGCCAUGUGAUCUACAAAGAAAAUAAUCUUAUUCAUCAAAAGGUAAUGGCGGAAGUUUUUGACAUUAAUGACCAUAGCCAAACAUUCCUAUUCCGUGGUUGUAUAGUUACGUUCAACAUUUUUUAAUUAUUUAUUAGCAAAAGCAAUAGGAUGAAUCACACCCUUAUCAUCUGGUUGGCAUAAGACACUACCUACUACCACUUUAGAGGCAUCACAAUAGACAUAGAAAGGUUGAUCCUAGUUUGGAGGUAGUAGACAAGGAUAUGAAAGCAAUUUGGCUUUAAUCGCAUCAAAAUCGAUUUAACAUUCAAAAUUCGAUUCAAAUUUGGUGGUCUUCUUCAACAAAUUAGUCAAUGGAGAGGCAUGAAUAGAAUAUGAUUCAAUCAAAUCAUGAUACCAACCGUUAUGUCCUAAAAUCUUUGAAUGUCUUUUACACCAUUUGGAGAUGGUAGGUUUCUAAUUACCUCUACCUUUUUAGGAUAAGGCUCUUUUUUCUUUUUAGAAAUAACAUAACCUAAUAAAACUCGUCUUUUAACUACCAAAUAAACCUUAUCUAGGUUAAGGGACAUUCCUACUCUUCUACAAUGUUGAAAAUAUAAUUGAAGGCUUACAAGGUGAUCAUUUUUUGAAGAUUGACAGCUAAAGUCGUCAAUAAAAACUGACAUAGUUUUUUGAAGAAGGUCCGAGAAUGCAUAGGUCAUGACUCUCUAUAAAGCCGUAGGAGCAUUGCAUAAGCCGAAAGGCAUUACUACAUAUACAAAGGUUCCCCAAGGUGAUGUAAAUCCAGUCUUGUGCCAAUCUUCAUGAGUUAUUGAUACUUGAUUGUAACCAUAGUAGCCAUCCAUAAAACUAUAGAUUUCAUGAUUUGCCACAUCAUCUACUAUAAAAGUAAUAAAAGAUAAUGAAAAAUGGUCUUUUUGAGUGUACUUAUUUAUAUUUUGAUAAUCCACUUACAUCCUAAGUUUAUUUCCUUCUUUUUUCUUCACCAAGAUGAUAUGAGACAACCAAUCUGUAAUUUCUAUAGGCUUUAUAAAUCCUGCUUGAAGUAGCCUUUUUAAUUAUGUUUUUACAAUGCAUUGCAUCCUAAGAUUGAGUCUUUUAUAUUUUUUUCUAACAGUUGUUGUAUUUGAAAGAAGUGGAAUAGUAUGUUGACAAAUGCUAUGAAGAAUACCUUUUAAAUCUUUAUAAGACUACACAAAUAUAUCUCGAUAUUCCAUUACUAAGGAUUUAUAUUUCUCAAGUUCUCUUUUACCUAAUUGGGAUCCAAACUUGACAUAUUUGGAUUCUUCUUCAUCAUGAUUUACUGGGAUUUUGAUCCAAUCUUGUUCUACCAUAUAUAUGGAGUCAGUGGAUCCAUGGUACCAAUCUUUAGGUACUGGUGGAUAAAUUGGUAUAUCAUGUCCAACUUCAAUGCUUUGUGAAAUAUGUUUGAAUUGUAACGAAAAAGGCAUGAUGGUUCCUUCAUUCAUAAUAGUAUCGAAAUCAUCUACUUGAAUUCCAUUAAUUUCCAAAUUAAAAGCUUUAUUUAUACAAAUAUCAUCAACUAAGGUUGUAAGAUUUGGACAAUCAUCUUCGAGUUUUAACCAAUCAAUUACUUCUAUAAAUUGAAUGUAGAUGUCUUCUUCUUCAUACGGAUUCUCUUCUAACUAUUUGGCAAAAUCACCCUCAUCUUCAUAUUCAUACAAUCCAAGACCAAUAUAUUUUAUUGGUAUAAUUGUUGAAGUUGAAUUGGAUUGGAUAAAACUACUUUGUUUGGCAUCUAUAGAUGUUGGUGUUUUUUCUAAUAGAACCAAAGAUCGGAGUCUAAAGUGACUAGAUACUAUGAUUUUUGUAUGAUUGUCUAAUGGUCCAAAAUUAAAAUAUAGCUUAGAAGCCCCCCGAUUUGUUACUCCUUUAGAUUGCCUCAGCCAUCCUCUUCCUAAUAAUAGAGGAUAGCUAUCCACUUCUUCAUAUAGGCGUAUGACAUAAAAUGAUACCAUAUAAUCUACACCUCUUGCUUGCAUACAAAGGUCUCAAAUUUGACCUAAAGAUUGAAAAGGUCUUUGAUCAGUUAGUCUUAUCUUCAUAAUUAUCUUAUGAGUGAUUUUUAAUCCUAAUUUGAACAUGGUGGAUUUGGACAUAAUAUUGAUGCUACUUCCAUCAUCUACUAUGACCUUAGGAAUUACUUUAUGUACUAUUUCUACAUCUAUCUCAAUAGGUCCAUAUUCUCUAUUGUUUUUUUUUUCUUUGGAGGUAAUAUCUCCUUCUAAAUCUCCAACUUCAACUCUAGCUAUUUUUUCUUUAUUUUUGGUUUGUCUUUAUGUAAUUAUACCUUCUUUGAGGUUUUUUUUAUGGUUGGUGCUACUUGAACCAAUUGAUCAAAAAAAAUGUUGGCUCUAGCCUUAUAAAGGUCUUGCCAUAAAUCAUAUGAUUCUGUAAGUUCGAAGGCUCUAAUAAUUGUUGGAUGUUUUAACAAGGUAUUAGAAGUCCAAGGCCCUUCUUUGUCCACAAAUUGAUAUUCUUCCUCAUUAUGUUCAAUCAAAGAAGAUGAUUGGUUGUGUUUUAGUUGUUUAGUUACUUCUUGAGUAGUUUUUGUCAAUUCUACAAACUUAACUAAUUCUUUUGAAGUAUCCAAAGAUAUUUCAUUAUCUUCAAGUGGUACUAAAUCUAUUGGUUUUUUAGCACUCGUACUUCUUGUUACAACCAGAGAAAGUAAAUAUACAUUGUUCUUGAAGAUCUCUUUGUUGUCUAGUUGAACAAAGUUGGAUCAAGGAGAUGGUAAGGUUGAUGUAGUAGGUACAUCAAGUUAAGCCAUUGUAUAUCUAACAUCUUAAGAAGAAUGUGAUUUUUGGUUUUAAUUUUGGAUAUAGGCUACAAAUCCUUCUAAUGUUCUAUAAUUUAUUUUAACUAUUAUUGGAAGAUGAUGAUUUUGACCAUUACUUGAAAGGUCAUAAUACACGUUUGAUGGAUUUUUUGUAACAAUAGGAUUUACAAAUUUAACUCCUUGUAUAAUUCCUCUGGUUUGAUUAUUAUGAUUUCUUGAAGAAGAAGUUGGAGAAUUAACUUGGUUAGAUCUUCUACAAUGAUCUAUAAGAUGAGAACCUCUACAAUUUGAGCAUAUAAUUCCAUUUUCAAUUCAACAUUGACCUAUCCAAUGUGGUUUUCUACAAAUAGGACAAGGUAUAAUAUUAUUCUUUUAAUUGGAAAGAAGAAUAAGACCUUCUUGUCUUAAAUGGUGAGAAAAUCUAUAAGGUUGGGAUUGAUUCUUUUUUAUAAAUGGUUGUUGAAAAAACCGUGGACAAAAUUGAGUAGUAUGAUUUACUUGUCUAUAGUUUGUAUACCACAAUCCAGAAGUAUGAAUUCUUGAUUCGUGGUAUCUAUGCUCUAUAGUUGGAGUUUGAUUUUUAAUGAGGCAAGAUAUUUGUUCACUAAUAGCUUUCAUAGUGUUCAUCAUCUCAUUUUUAAACACUUCAUUGAUUUAUCUUACUUUACUUUUAAAUUCCUCCAAUCUAGUAUCAUAAAAGGUCAUAGUUUGAACUUGAUCAUAUAGAGGUUGUAUAGCUAAAGGUAUUAGAUUACUAAUUGGCAAAAAAAAAGUAGAAGGUUGUCAAUAGCUUAAGGCUAGAAGUUGAUGGAAUUCUGUAGGUCGAUAUUGCAAGGGUAUAAAGGACGGUAUUGGUUCUUCUGCCCUUCAAAGCAUAUGAUUAUUUUCCUUAUCAAUAACCUCCAUUUGCAAAGCGGUUUGAAUGACUCCUUCUAAGUCUUUAAGUCUCUUGUUUAGGAUAUCUUGAAUUAUAGAAGGCAUGGCAAAACCUUGAAUAAAGUAGUACCUUAUGGUAUCCUCAUUUAAAAGUUUACCAACAUAUUGAGUACAUACUACUCAAAAUCGCCUCACAUAAGAAGUAAUAUCUUCUAAAGGACCCUGUCCAAUGAUUGUCAAGGAUGAAAGAGCUUGUUGUUGGCCAAUUAUGAACCUAUAUUGACGAAGAAAUGCUGUUAGAAGUUAUUCCCAUUUAAUGAAUGUCCCUUCUAUAUGGAAUCUAUACCAAGCAUAUACAAAAUUUGUCAAAGUUCUUGGAAACCAUAUUAAGUAGUAGCCAUGAUUGGUUACUAAACUAGUAAUAAGUACUUCUAAAAACCUUUCUAUAUGGGCUGCCAGGUCUUCAUUGAUAGAUCCACUAAAUCUUGAGAGGUUAAUAAGUGGAAUUGAUGCUCCUUGUAAUCCUAAAGGUACUACAAUUGGUAAUCCCCUAGAUAAUAUUAUCGGAUCGAUUUGGGUAUUGUCUUCGAAGUUGUGGUUAUCUUUAUUGGCUAUAUUAGCCCUUUGAGUUGGAAAUGGUAAAAGCUCUACUUGAGGCUCUGAAGAAUGUCCUCUAUUAUGCUCCAUCCCGAUAGAAGCUUGUGACAUCUUGUCACAAGGUCUUUUUAAUACGUCCAAUGUCUCUUGAUAUAGUGUCUAGGGCCCUUGUCAUCAUCCUUAUAUUCAUCCAAAUCAAAUUGUCCUUUUUUAUUGAUACAACAUUAUACCAAUUCAUGUUUUUCUUCUUCAGUUAAGAUUGUAUUCAAAGCAUUAGAUACAGCAGAUUCUCCUAUCAACUGCCUCUUUCACUUAAUAGUAUCUAUGAUGACUUCAUGAAACUCUCUCUUUGCAAUGCCUAAAAUUUCUCCUAGUGUAAAUUCAAUUUUGGCAUUCAAUACUCUUUCUUCGAAUACUCCUUUGAAAUCUGUGGCUACCUCAAUAUCUGAUUGAAGCUUAUAAGUAACAUGCUUACUCUUUCCUUUGUUUUUAUCAACUUCCAUCCUUUCUUCCCAUUUCUCUUUUGGCAAUGGUGCUUUUUCAGGAUGCAAUGUCUAUGGCCUAGCCAUAAAUGGUCUAUUAGCCUAUGGUAUAAGUAUUUCUUUAUUUUACAUUGUUUCUACAUGCCUUUGAAAUCUCUUCUUGUUGGUUGGCUCUUCAAAAUUUUCUUCUAUUUCAUUUCUUUCUCUUUUUACCUCUAUUAUAGCUUCAUAUUGGAACUUUGCCAAAUGAGCAUGUACAAACAUAAUAUCUAUAUGGUCAUCCCAUCUUGUAAUAUUUCUAAUUAUUGUGGCUAUAUUAAGUAAUUUUUACCUUUUUGUUUUUUCUUUAUUCAUGGUGAUAAUAGCAUGAUUUCAUAGAUCCUCUAAUUUUACAUGCUUGUCAAAAAUAUCCUCCUUCUUCUUUAUAGCCUCAAUGCCAUAAGUAAUAGUUUUUUUUGAUGCCAUAGCCUAUUGAGAUAAAUGCUCUUCUAAAACCUUUUUCAUCAUUCUUUUUUCAAAAUUGGUUUUGAGAAACUCACCUAUAUCUCGCAACAUAAUUUUUCCAUCCUUCCACAAAAUUACUCCCUGUCGCAAAAUAUCAGCAAAAUCUCUACACUUCUUUUCAGGAUGCUCUAUACUAUCACAUCAAAUACAUCUUUCUAUAUAUCCUGGCUUUGAUACAGAUUUACUCUCAAGUAAUCCUUCUUUCUCCUCUAGCUUUGUCAGUUUGAUUUGUAAGUCUUUCAUUCUUUUUACCAACUCAUCAAUUCCAUCUUUUUGUGGUACAACUGUAGACAUAGGAAUUGGAAUAAUGCUUACUAAUAUAAUAGGUUCUGUCAAUUACCUACGAGGUAUUGUAGUUGGUAGAGGUCUAAUUUCUUGCCUUACUACCACCUUAUUCCUCCGGUACUCUCUUUUAGCAAGUAUGCCCACAACUUCAAAGACUUUCUCCCAAUCAAUAGUAAGUCCAUUGUCCUUUGUAUUAUCCUCUAAUAAUAAUUUCAAUUCUCUUUGUAAAUCAUUGCCAACUGAUUGAAGAAAUAACUCCACCUUAUCAUUUUUAAGUGUGAGCUUUUUCACUCGAGACAAUUGAAGAAACUGUCUUUCAAAUUCUCAAAAUAACUCUGUUGCAACCAACUCCUUAUUGGAUUUAUUGACCCAUUCCAUAAAUGAUUUUCUUGUCACCUUUUUUGCAUCUUCCAAAAAAUACUCUUCUUUUAACUAAAUGAUAAAAUCCUCCCAUUUCUCUCCAUGAGUUUUAAUAAUGCCCUUUAUAUGCUCACAAAGCUAUGGUACAACUACAAGCUCAAAUGUAAGAAUCAUAUCUUUCUUUGGCACUUUAUUGAGCUCCAUCUCCCGAGAAUAAUACUUAAGAUACUUGAAAAUAUUUCUUCCAUCAAAUUGAUCCAAAAACCCAACAACAAAUUACAAGGCUUUAGUAGCCAUUGCCUCCUUGCAUUCCACUGCUUGCUGUUAUUGCAUAAAAAGUGUAAAUGCUUGAAACAUUUGAGUUAUAGUAGGAUCAAGUUGCAAUGGAGAUUCUCUAGUGCAAUUCCUACUACCACUUCCUUGCUCUCCUUCCAUAAUAGAAAAUUAAAAAUAUUUCUUCAAAACUCUCUAUUCAAGAAAUAUUCACGUUGGAUUCAUUAGGUCUGUCAUAUGGCAUGAUUUACUAUCUGCAAAUACACUGGAUAUCUAGCUAUAGAGAGUGUAGCUUAAACCUUUAUAUGAUUCUUGUCUUAGCUUCCAAAACUCCUUUAUUUUUGUAUAAAACUCCAAAUAUAACAAAAUCCCUUCAAAACAUAUUUUUUCCGCAAAGGAUUUUCUUGCCUCAAACUUUAAAAAAUCAUAACUAUUGAUCUCACCAUUCAGUUUGUCUCAAAUUUACAAGUUAGGUAGAAUUCAUCUUUAAAUUUUACUAAAAAAAAAAAACCAAUUGCAAAUUCACUCCCGAUCUUCUGGCAUCUAAGAAACCCUAGCAGGUACUCUAAACCCUAAUUUAUAAGCACCCGAAAAACUAUUUUCCUUAUAUCUCAAAAAUCCAAUCUCCAAAUUCACAAAACUUAUGUAAAAACAUUUAUAACAAGAUUAUAUAUAAUCUAAGAAAUUUUGAGCCAAAACUUAUCAAAUUGCUCAAGAUAUAGCUCAAGAGACAACCACUAGUAAAUUGGGUUAUUUACUACCCUUAGAUUUCAUGUACUGACUUCAAAAUCCAAUAACUCCUUUAUUUCAACUUGGAAUCCAGUAAGCAGUAUGUGAAGAGUAUAGCCGUAAAAGUGCUCUUUUUAGUCACGGUCGCCGAUCCUCAAUUGCUAUCUAUAUACAUGCAUUAUACCAAAAAGAGUGAUAGUAGCUCCCAAAUCAAUACCUUAACUUUGAGCGCUUGUAUCUCCUUUAUUAAAACUCCAAACCAUACAAAACUUGGACCAAAACCAUAGCCAAAAACCUAAACCUUCUGACCUUAGCCUUCAAAACUUAAAAGGGCCAGAGAAACUAACCCUAAUUCCUAAUAUGGCCUCGGGUAGCCUCCUCAAAGCCCAUUGGUCAUGAUUUUUGACCAAUAGGAAUGGAGAUUUUCAUCAUUCAUCUUCAUUCAUCUAUAUUGGUGCCCUAAUUACUCCCUUUUCUACCAAAAUCCUUUUUCAAUCCUUUUCCUUAUAAGAUUUACAUAAUUUAUUCUCUAAACACCAAAUAAAAGAACCAAAAGAAGUUUUCAAAGGUCACCAAUGUCUAAUAAAGGUGAUUCUAAAUAUUUAGAAGUUACUAUCAACCAAAAUCAAUCUUAAAAGCCACUAUCAAAAGGAAAUUAAAAUUAUGAAAAUUUUAUAAUAAUCUUUUUAAACAACCUCUUCUCAGGAUAAUAACCAAACUAUAAUCUACAACCAACUAAAAUCUACUAACAUAGCUCUUACCAUGUUACUUAAUAAAUUAUAUAUUAGGUACAUAAUUACAUUAUUUUCAUAUAAUAGCCGAACCACAACAUGACACUGCCGUACUCCUUCCUAAGUGUAUCUAAAUUUGAAAUAAAAAUGAAGAGCUAGGUUUGAAAUCCAUCUAAUUUUGCAAAGCCGUGCUCCUUUUUUGCAUGUUUAAAAUUUCAAAUAAAAUUAAAGAACUCAAGUUUGGAACCAACCUAAUUUUGCCAACCUGUGUUCUUUUUCCUAAGCUUACAAUCUGUAUUAGUAAAAUAAAUUUGAAACUAAAUGAUUUUUGUUAAAAAUAUAUUCACCUUGGAUUAUAAUUUGAACUUAUUAGUCUUCUCUUUUCUUCUUUUCUUCUUUUUUCUUACUUGUUCUAAAUUUCUUCUAUCUGAUUCUUCUACCUAUUUCUUCUUCUUGAAUCUCUUUUCUUUUUGUUAAUGAAGAAUUUCCUUGAAUUCUUCUUAAGCUCCUUCUACAUUACUCCCGUGAAUAGAAGGGAUAUGAGGGGUGGAGGGAGUGAUUAAAUCUCCCUACCACUAAAGAAAGGCCCUCUACUGGAAAUUUACAAGGAUGCAAAGAGAUGGUACGAGGGAUGGAGGGAGUGAUUAAAUCCCCCCUACCACUAGAAAAAGGCCCUCAACUAGAAAAUUUAAACCUUCAAGACGAGCUCCACACACAAUGCUCAAUUGUAUUUGCUUAAGUCAGAACCCUCUCUCCACUCCAAAAGUCGUGACAAAUUCAAUUUUGAUUCAAAAGCAUUGAAAUUUAUACCACUACAACCUCAACUUUGAAGUGCUUGUAUCCAAAAAAUUUCACUAUGAAAUAAUUACCCAGCACUAAGAAAUGCCUUGUCAAAGACAGGGUAUACAAAACUGCCAAGGCAGUAACCCUCUUGUGUUCGAAAAUUCACCACAAAUUAGUUAUAGCUUCAAAUUGAGCAUAUAAUAUCUUUUCAGAAAGCUAACAGCAAGAUAAAUGUACUGCCGAAGUUUCAACUUAAACUAUCAAACACCCAAAAAUCCGAGAGCAAAUCAACAUUCUACUCAACAACAAAACUUUUGAUUAUCUUUUGAUUUUUAAAUAUUUGAAAGCCUUGUUUACACUAAUAAGGAGAGAGGUAGAAACUUACAAAUAAUGAAGACUAAGUCGCAAUGCUCACACAACAAGUCCAAGCAAGAUCAUUCACAAAAUGCUCACUUCACAUUCUCACACACCAUUAGAAGCACCAUCUCCCGGAAAACGCACCAUUUAUGUGAGUGUAAAUUUCACUCCUCAGCCCCAAUUACAAGAUGGCGUCAAUUAAGAGUUUCUUGUAAUUGGUGGUGUGAAUUGAAGUAAGCAAUUGGCAAAAGACCAAGGAGGAACAACCACAAUACAAGUAAAAGAGAUGAAACCAAGUAAUCACAACAUCCAAAACGAAGUCACAGUCCGUUCACUAGAUUUUCACCCAGUAAAAUGUAAAAAUAAAAAUUAAAAAAUAUAUUUUUAGAUAUGUAAUUUUUUUAUCUUUCCAAUGACAUAAAAAUCAUGUAAUUCCAAGUUACUAUGAAUAAAUUAUGAUAGAAUUUUCUCUUAAAAUUUUCUCUUAAAAUUUUCUCUUAAAAUUUUUUCUUAAAAUUUUUUCUUAAAAUUCUAAAUAAAUUCUAAAUAAAUUCUAAAAAUUCCUAUAAUAUUUCUAUAAUACUAAUAUCUAUAUGAGGCUAUAUUUUCCUAUCUUGGUGAUUUUUUAUAGUAAUAAAAUCAAUUUAAAUCCACUAAAAAUCCUAUUUUUUAUAUAAUUAACUAAAAAGACAUGAAGCUCUUUUUCAUGCUUCUUCUAACUACUAACUAAUCAUUGAUAGGAUUUUAUAAGUAAUACAUGUAGAUAGGAGCCAAUGAAGAUAUUGAUUUCAAUAACUAACUCUUAAUACUUAAUAAUAAGAAAAAUACUAAACUAACUAAGAUAAUUGCCUCCAAGGCUUACUAAGACUCCAUUUUUACAACUUUUCUUCUAAUAACACUUUUGCAACUUAUAAAUACUUUUAAAUUAUAAUAAAUACUUAAAUAGUCAAGAAAAAAUCCUCUACUCUUAACAUUUGUAUAAUUGAAUGACUUAAAACCAUGUUUUUAAUUAAUCCACUAAUUAAGAUCAAUUUGUGGGACUCACAAAUAAUGACAACAUAUUACCCAUACAGUCCAUUUCUUACGUCCAUUCCAUGUGAUACAUUAAUAAUAACUAAUUAUUCUUUCAAUCGCAUCUACAUCCUAACGCACAUAUACCAUAAUUAGGUCUAUUUUGAGUCCAUUCGAAGUCACCUCUUCCAAAAAAAUGAAAAUUUGUCUAAGAUUUUAUACAUUAUAUAACCGUAAUUGGUUUCCAUUAAUGCGAGUACUGAAUUGAUGGCCUAUAUAAUUGUCCAAUUGAAUAGACAUAUUGGAAAAACCUUCAACCAUGCAAUAUGGCCCAUGCUAGUAAACUUAAAAUUUGCCUAGAAAAUGAUUAAACCGGCUAUCAUAUGGCAAUACCAAAUCAUUCGCCAUAAAAAUCUUUGGACGUAGUUUACUAUCAGAGUAACUCUUCCUCUAUUUUUGAGUUGCUUCCAUGUUGAAAAGAAUUUUAGCUCAUACUUCAUCCAAUUCUUCUAAUGUUGCCAAUCGAGAGUGUAAUGACUCUUUGUCACUAAGUCAUUUAUCCAAGGCAAUCCGUAAACUUUGAACCUCUGACUCAAUGGAUAAAAUUGCCUCUUGUCCAUAAACUAGUUUGAACGGAGUAGAGUUAGUAGUUACUUUAUAUGUGGUACAAUAUGCCUACAAAGCCGCAAAGAGUUUGGUCUCCCAAUUAGUAUCCACCCCCAAAAUUAUCUUCGUCAAGACCUUACACAAAAUUUCGUUAGUCUUUUCCAUUUGCAUAUUAGUAUGAGGAUGAUAUGGAGUGGUUUUUCGAUGCUUGAUCUCAUAUGUGUUCAUCAAGGGUGCUAUGGUAGCAUUUAUGAAAUAGGUGCUGCAAUCGCUAAUCAAUUCUUUCAAACAUCCAAAUCAAAUUAUAAUAUUCUUGUAUAGAAAAGUAGCUAUCGUAUUAGCAUUAUCAUUGUAGAUAGGAAUAACCUAUGCCUAUUUUGUUACAUAGUUUGUAGCAACUAAAAUAUACCACUUUUGACCAAGUUUUGAUAUUAGUGUGAUGAGAUCGACAAAAUCAAUAUUCUAUUUUUCAAAUGGUGCUUGUACCAAGAUUGGUACUAACAGCAUCGCUGAAAUAUCCAUGGAUCGACCAAUUUGUUGACAGGGAUCACAACAAUGAACAAAUUGGUGCGCAUCAAAAAACAUUUUGGGCCACCAAUAUCCGGCCAUUAAAGCCUUGCAAGCAAUAUUAUCUCCCGCAAAAUGACCAUGACAACUAUCCAAAUGGUAACCCUCUACUAUCGAUUGUACUUCACUUGGAAAGAUACAAUGUCUUAAAAUACCAUCUUUGCCUUGUUUAUACAAAGCACCGCAAAUCAUCAUAUAUGGGGCAUUCUUCAGAAUGAGUCACUUUUUAAGCUUGUUGGUGAAAGUGGGUAGAAAGAUGUGGAAGGUAAAAAAUUGAAUGAUUUCACUAUACUCAGAGAAAAUCACAUCUACCACAAAUAAUUCAGUGUCGGAAAGAGCAUCAAGGACAGGCUCGUUGCCAAGAAUAUUAGACAACUGGGAUAAAUAAUCAACAUUUGCAUAUUUCUUCUAAGGUCAUACAAUAAUCAUAAAAUUCAACUCUUAUAAAAAUAAUAGCCAUUGGAAAAUGCAUCUACUGAAUUGAGGCUUAUUAAUCAUGUAUUUGAGCGCAUCAUAAUUGACAUAAAAUUCAAACGGAUACCCAAGCAAAUAGUGCCAAAAUUUCUGAACCAAGUAUAUCAUAUCCAAUGCUUCUUGUUCAGUAGUAGUGUAAUUGCGUUCGACAGUGACUAAUUACCGACGGGUAUAAUAUAUAGAAUGAUCCAGACCCUUGUCAUCCUUCUGACUUAGUACCAAUCUAAUAGCCAUAUUAGAUGCAUCAAUGUAUAUAUGAAAGAGCUCUGUCCAACAAGGGGCCACCAAUUUUGGUGUAGAGACCAAUUUUGACUUCAAUGCUUUAGAAGCCAUGGUACACUCUAUGGUUUAGAUGGGACUAGUCUCACUUGAAGGAGGUUUCUUUAGUAAGUUCGUUAAAGAUUGAUAAAUAAUUAUAAAUAAAUAAAUAAAUCAUGAAUAAUAACUGACAUGGUUGAUAAAUUCUCGAACAAUAGAGACCAUCUUUGGUUUGGACAAGUCCAUUAUAUGCUUUACUUUGUCAGGAUCUGUAGCAAUACCAUGGUUAGAGACAAUAUGUUCUAAUAAUUUUCUUGAUGAAAUACCAAAUUGACACUUAUGCAAGUUCAAUGGUAUUCCAAACUUAGCGCACUGAGCCAAAUAUUUGCCUAAACAAUUAAGAUGAUCUUGUUUUGUACUAAAUGCACAAAAAUCAUCUAAAAAGAUUUCCAUAAAUAUCCAAAGAUAGUUUUGGAAGGCAUGAGUCAUCACUUUUUGAAACGUGGCUGAGACAUUACAUAAUCCAAAAGGCAUCACGUGAUAAGUAAAUGUACUCCAAUCCGUUGUCGUGUUCUCGUUCGGCUAUUAUAUAAAAAUAAUGUAAUUAUGUAUUUAAUGUAUAAUUUAUUAAGUAAUAUAGUGAGAGCCAUGUUAGUAGAUUUUAGUUGGUUGUAGAAUAUAAUUUGAUUAUUACCUUGAGAAGACAUUGUUUAAAAAGAUUACUAUAGAAUUUGUAUAACUUUAAUUUCCAUUUGAUAGUGGCUUUUAAGAUUGGUUUUGGUUGAUAGUAACUUCUAAAUAUUUAGAGACACGUUUGUUAGACAUUGGUGACCUUUGAAAACUUAUUUUGAUUCUUUUAUUUAGUGUUUAAAGCAUAAAUUAUGUAAAUCUUAUAAGAAAAAGUAUUGAAGAAGGGUUUUAGUAGAAAAGGAAAUAAUUAAGGCACCAAUAUAGAUGAAUGAAGAUGAAUGAUGAAAAUCUCCAUUCCUAUUGGUCAAAAAUCAUGACCAAUGGACUUUGAGGAGGCUGCUCGAGGCCAUAUUAGAGAUUAGGGUUAGUUCUUCAGAGCUACUUGAGCUUUGAAGGCUAUGAUCAAUAAUUUUAGGAUUUUGGCUAUGGUUUUGGUACAAAACUUGUAUGAUUUGGAGUUUAUAUGAAGGAGAUAUUAUUGAAACAUAGAAAGCAAACUCCACACAAGCAAGUUAGGACCAGCAAGGUUGCACUUCACAAAUAGAAUGUGGUAUGAGAUAAUUCUUCCCAUGCCAACCCUUUUCUUAUAUACUAGUACCAAGGUACCAUGUGUUACAACCCAUAUGGGAUAUCUCUUAGGACCAGCCCUCUCCUUGUAUUCUAAGGCACUAUAGAGCAGCAACUAACCUUGUAGGAUAUCCCUCAUUACUCAUAUACUCUAUUGACCAUUAGCAACAACUAAAUGAGUUCUUUCCUUCAACACUCCCACUUUGCUAUUGGUCAAUUAGCUAUCAAUCCUAAUGCCUUACUCAAUAUGUUGUGUCUCUCUUUCACCAAGGCUUUUGUAAGCAAAUCAGCCAACAUGUCUUUGGUUUCACAAUACAUCAUAUCAAUAACUCCCAUCUCUAUCUUCUCUCUUAUAAAGUGGUGUUGAAUAUCAAUGUGCUUGGUUCUUGCAUGAUGCUUUGGAUUCUUUGCAAAAGCCAAACAUCCUUGAUUGUCACAUCUCAAUGGAGUGGCUUCCAAUUGCACAAGUCCAAUGUCUUCCAACAACAACCUCAACCAAAUUGCCUCCAUUGCUCCAUGACUUGCUGCCAUAUACUCCGCCUCCAUUGUGGACCUUGCAAUGGUUGGUUGUCUCUUACAAUUCCAAGAUAUGGCUCCCAUUCCAACAAAGAAUACAUAGCCCGUUGUUGAUCUUCUAUCAUUUGUAUCUCCAGCCCAAUCCGCAUCACAAUAUCCAUGUAAUGCAAUGUUAUUUCCUCCAAGACAUAGUUUAUGGUUCAAAGAGCCUUUCAAGUACCUCAUGAUUCUUUUGAUGGUUGCCCAAUGCAUAGGACCUGGUUUUGUCAUGUGUUGACUUACAACACUUACUGCAAAUGCAAGAUCCAUCCUUGUACCCACCAUUGCAUACAUGAGUGAGCCUACUGCUGCCUUGUAUGGUAUGCCUUGCAUUUGAUGCUCAACUUCAGCAUAUUCCUCAUCCGUGAGCUUCAUCAACUUCAAGUUGGCUUCCAAAGGAGUUCCAAUGGGCUUGCAAUCUUGCAUGUUGAAUCGUUUCAAUACGUCUUCAAUGUACUUGCUUUGACUCAAUGUGAUGGUCUUUGAUACUCUAUUCCUUGUAAAUUCCACACCCAAACAAUAAUGAAGCUCUCCCAAAUCACUCAUUUCAAACUCUUUCUCCAAUUUCUUCUUCAACCAAUCUAAUUUUACCAUGGUGUUGCUUAAGAUGAUUAAAUCAUCUACAUAGAGGAUCACAACCAGCAAGAAGUCCUUGGCUUGCAACACAUACAAAGAAUGGUCAGCUUCACUUCUUAUAAAACCUUCCUUCACAAAGAAUGAGUCAAUGCGUUGAUACCAUGCUCUUGGUGAUUGCUUGAGUCCAUAUAAUGACUUCUUCAACUUGCAAACAAGGUUGGGUUUGUCUUGAUCAAUAAAUCCUUGAGGUUGCUCCAUGUAGAUGUCUUCUUCCAAUUCUCCAUUCAAGAAGGCUGUCUUGACGUCCAUUUGAUGCAUCUCCAAGUCUAUUGAUGCUCCAAUUGCUACUAUGGUUCUAAUGGUAGUGAAUUUGGCCACUGGAGCAAAUGUCUCAUUAAAAUCCACUCCAGCAACUUGUGAGUAGCCUUUGGCAACCAAUCUUGCUUUGUACCUCACAACAUUGCCCAUAGCAUCUCUCUUGGUUCUAAACACCCACUUACAUCCAAUUGUUGAAUGAUUUGGUGGAAGUGGAGUCAACUCCCAUGUCUUGUUGUCCAUAAGAGAUUUGUACUCUUCUUGCAUAGCAAUCUCCCACUUCAUUGCAUCACCACACCUCAUUGCAUCACACAAAGUCAAUGGAUCAUCAAGAAGAGCAACAUUGGCCUGAUCUUCACUUACUUGUGGAAAGAUAUGGUUCUUCCACCAUUCACCUUGUGGUCUUCUUUCACGUGUUGGAUAUCUUCUCUCAUGCAAAGAAGAUGAGCCUUCAUGCUCCUCUUGCUGCCUUCUAUGGCUCAUACACUUCCUUCUCUCAUUCAUUGGUUGAUAUUCUUCAUCUUCAUUCUCUUCAUUGUCCUUGUUGUAUCUUGCUGGAAUUGAAGUCUUUAUAGAGUUGGGCUCUUCUUCAAUGAUAUCUUCAUUUCCAUCUUCACUUUGAGAAUGCUCUUCUUCAUCUUCUUCUUUGUUUGCUGAAAUUGAAGAUGUGUCCACAAACACACCACUACUCCCACUUGGACACAUCUCCCACUUUUCACUUGCACUCUUAUACUCCAAGAACUCUACAUCACGACUUUUGAUGAUCUUUUUGGUGUCUAAACACAUGAGCCUAUAUGCCUUGGUGCCUUCACAAUAUCCAAGGAAUGCACAUCUUGUGCCCUUUGCAUCAAGUUUACCUCUCAUACUAUCUGGAACUUUAGCAUAUGCAAUGCAUCCAAAAAUCCUCAUAUGAGAUAAACAAGGUUUCUUACCAGUCCAAGCUUCUUCGGGAGUCAUUCCUUCAAGUGCACUUGUGGGACACCUAUUUCUUGUAUAUACGGCAUUUACCACAGCUUCCGCCCAAUACUCAUAUCCAAGCUUUUGAGCAUGAAUCAUACUCCUUGCCAUCUCCACAAUGGUACGAUUUGCUCUUUCAGCAACUCCAUUUUGUUGUGGGGUAUAGGGAGUGGAGGUUUGUCUUGCAAUGCCUUCAUGCUUCAAUAACUCAUCAAAGUCUUUGGACAAAUACUCACCUCCAUUGUCCGAUCGCAGCACCUUAAUCUUGUGCUCACAUUGCUUCUCCACAAGUGCUUUCCACUCCUUAAAUUUAGCAAAACACUCACUUUUGGCCUUGAUGAUAUAAAUCCAUACCUUCCUUGAAAAGUCAUCAAUAAAUGUGACAAAAUAUCUUGCUCCACUCAUAGAUGGUGUUUUCAUGGGUCCACAAACAUCCGAAUGCACAAGCUCCAGCAAUUGAUUUGCUCUUGUUGCAAUUCCACUAGGAAAUGGUGUCCUAUGUUGUUUGCCUUGAAUGCAACCUUCACAAGAUAGAUUCAUAGUAGAAUGGCCAAGGUCUAAGCUACUUAUCAUGGAUUGAAGCUCCUUCAUGCUUUUGGCAUUCAAAUGUCCAAGUCUUUGAUGCCAAAUGCCCACCUUAUCUUCAUUUGAUGGAAAUUCAGCAAAAGCAGCAACCUCUACUCCAUUGAUGCGCUUGCAAUUGAUAAUAUAGAGAUUGCCAUCUCUAAUCCCUUUUGCUACUUCUUUGCCUUCCAUGGUUCUCACAAAACAUCCAUUCAUAUUGAAUUGCACUUUGCACCCAUGACUUACAAGUUUACUCACCGAAAGGAGGUUCUUCUUCAUCUUUUGCACAUGCAACACAUCCUUGAGUGUGAUCCUCUUGCUUAUGCCCUUGACCACUACUUCCACUACAAUGGUGCCCAUUCCAAUGGCUUGUACCAUACCAUUAUCACCUAACCAAACCUUAGUUGCUGGAAUUGGUUGAUAAGUGUUAAAUGAACACUUGUAUGGAGUCAUGUGUUUGGUACAUCCAGAAUCCACGAUCCAUUUGCUCAUAUCAAGCAUGGAAGAAGUUUGUUUUUCCAUGAAUGCAAAGUCAUCACCUCUAUGGUCAUGAAAAGCAUUGUUGGCAUUCUCUCUUUCUCCUCUCUUUGCUUUGAAACAAUUCCUAGCAAAAUGCCCUGGUUUUCCACAAAUAUAACAAGCUUUGGGAAGAUUACGUUGAAUGGAAGUACUUGCCUUACUUGGUCUCGUGAAUAGUGCUGAUUGCUCUCCAAUAGACUCCUUUUGCUUUCUUUUGGUCACUUCAUGGGCUAGUCUUGCCGUGACAUAGUCCAAAGUAAGAUCUUUUCUUGAAAUUGACUCCAAUGCCACAAUGAGGGAGGAAUAGGAGUCCGGAAGGCUUGAGAGCAAUGUCAUCACAACAUCUUCUUCAGGUAAAGGCUUGUCAAUAACAGCAAGUUGGUUUGCAAGUGCUUUUACCUUAUUGACAUGAGCCAUGAGAUCUUCACCUUCUUCCAUCUUCACGGUGAAGAAUUUUUGCCUUGACCAUAGUACAUUGGAGAGAUUUCUACUCUCAUAGACGUUGCAAAGAGUCUUCCAUGCCUCUGCUGCCUCUUUGCAAGAAAUGACAUGAGCAAAGUUGCUCUCAUCUAAAUUGGUGGCAAUUAUGCCAAAAGCCUUCUUUUCUCGUCUUUUGAACUCUUUAUGCUCCUUGAUGCUUGCCUCUACCCCAGGUGCCUCUUCCUCGUCACAUACAAUCUCCCAAAGAUCCAAUGACGCCAAAAGUAGCUCCAUUUUGGCCUUCCAGUGGUGAAAGUUGUCACCUUUGAACUUUUCAACCAUUCUCAAGCUAUCACCCUCAAAAGAUGCCAUCUCAAGCUACACGUAGGUCCAAAAAACUCUUGAUUUGGAGUUGUAAUGGAGAAGAUAUCACUACUCAAAGAUCGCUGAACCACAAACCCAGAAUUCGCUGUUUUGCAACUUUUUGUAAAUUAUGAGUCCAAAUCACGUCUAAAUGGUGGGGAAUGAAUUGUAAAGUAAUUCUUUGGCUCUCAUUAGUCUCUCUCACGUCACUCCACUCAAAAUGACUCACUAUCUCAUAAAACUUUCAAACACUAGUGUUACUUCAGCAAAGACACUAUCAAGGUCUUGCACAAAACUCAUAUACUCACAAAUCCAGGAGCAAUGACUUCAACAACACACUAGCAACACUCUACCAUAAGAUCCCAACCACCAAAGUAAGCAACAAAGAAAUAAUGCAAGAACAACUUACUUGGUAAGAGACUGUGGGCCCAUAACCUAUUGAAACAUAGAAAGCAAACUCCACACAAGCAAGUUAGGACCAGCAAGGUUGCACUUCACAAAUAGAAUGUGGUAUGAGAUAAUUCUUCCCAUGCCAACCCUUUUCUUAUAUACUAGUACCAAGGUACCAUGUGUUACAACCCAUAUGGGAUAUCUCUUAGGACCAGCCCUCUCCUUGUAUUCUAAGGCACUAUAGAGCAGCAACUAACCUUGUAGGAUAUCCCUCAUUACUCAUAUACUCUAUUGACCAUUAGCAACAACUAAAUGAGUUCUUUCCUUCAACAGAUAUAGGUGCUUAAAGUUAAGGUAUUGAUUUCAGAGCUACUGUCACUCUUUUUGGCAUAACGCAUGCGUACAGAAGGCAAUUUAGGAUCAGCGACCAUGACAUGAGAGAGCACUUUUGCGGCUAAACUUUUUGCAUACUGCUUGCUGGAUUUCAAGUUGAGAUGAAGGAGUUAUUGCAUUUUGAAGUCAGUACAUGCAAUCUAAGGAUAGUAAGUAACCCGAUUUACUAGUGGUUGUGACUUGAGCUAUAUCUUGAGCAAUUUGACAAGGUUUUGGCUCAAAAUUUCAGGAAAUGUGUAAAUUCAUAUUAACAAAAUUUAUACAUAAGUUUGAUGACAUUUAAAUAUUGGGUUCUUAAGAUAUUAAGAAAAUAGUGCUCGGAUACUUGUAAAUUAGGGUUUUGAGCAUCUGCUAGGGUUUCUUAGAUUCCAAAAGUUCGGGAGUGAAUUUGCAGUUGGUUUUUUUUUUGAAAUAAAACUUAAGGAUGAAUCCUACCUAUCCUAUAAAUUUUAGACAAAUGAAAUUGUUAGAUCAAGUGUUAUGAAUUUUUGAAGUUUGGAAUAAGAAAACCCUUCACGGAAAAAAUAUGUUUUAAAGGGAUUUUGUUAUAUUUUGAGUUUUAUGCAAAUAAAGGAGUUUUGGAUGCUAAGAUAAGAUUCAUAUAAAUAUUUAAGCUACAUCCUCUAUAGCUAGAUACCCAGUGUAUUCUCAAAUAGCAAAUCAUGCCAUACGACACCGUAGUAAAGAUCAUCUUGAGCUGGUCUUCUGUUGCAAUUUAAACUUGAUUACACCUAAAAAAUCCAUCUAGGAAUGAAUAACAUUUGUGACCUGCUAUGGCAUCCAAUAUACUAUCUAUGAAAGGUAAUGGGAAGUAAUCUUUUUUGGUGGCCGCAUUAAGUUUUUAGAAAACUUGACAAAUUUGGAUUUUUCCAUUUUUUUUUGGCACCAUCACAAUUAGAAAAAUCCACUUACUAUUCGGUAUUGGAUAAAUAAAACCAAUCGCAAGAAGCUUGUCCAAUUCCUCCUUCACCAUGAGUGAAUAUUUAGGAUUAAGGCGAUGUUGCCUCUGCCAUAUCAAUUUAGCGUUCUCCUCUAAAAUGAUGUGAUGCUCACAGACUUCAGUGGGGAUGCCUUUUAAAUCAUCGUAAGUCAAAGCAAAAGCAAUUUUAUUAUGCAAGAAAAAUUCUAUCCAACAGGUCAACUCCUGCUCCUUAAUAUCUUCAUAGACCUUAAUUAUCCGAGGUUCUGCUGUGGUCACCAAGUUGAUAGUUUGAUAUAAAGGUGCAAUGAAAAAUUUUUAUUUCAACCCUCGCACUAGUUUAAAAUCAGUCCAUAAUUCUAACAUGUACGAAGUAUUGAAUCCUGUCUUUAGGGCACUAAUAUAGUACACAUUAUACUUGAUCAUCCAAUCAAUACUAACAUAAUCAGAGUUUUUCGAAUCUAUCGGGUAUAUCAAGUACUCUCUCGAACAUCCACUUUGGUACACCACUCUAAGGUGUUGUUUUGCCUCCAUGGGCGCCUCCGUAAUCAAUGCUACUACGUCAUCAUUGGAGCUAAGCUAAUCAUCUGACUUCAAUUCAAAUGUUAACAAUUGACAUUCCUCGUGAUAGUAUAGUAGGUACAUUUGUAACACCAUUUUGUCUCUGUCCUUGCCAAUUGUCAAAGUAUCUCAACUCCAAUCGUUUUUAGCCUUUGCUUGAUAAAGUUAGGGUUGUCCCAAUAAAAUUGGAUACAACCAGGUCAAAUGUUGUAACCAAAAGAUGAUAUAGAUAAUUUUACAUGCAAUACUAAUAAUUAUAGUUUGAACACUCCGUAAAAUACCCAUUGGUUUAAUCCGGCUAUGAUCUGCCAUAUAUAAUAUCAAUAUCAUGGAUACUAAGUAUUUCAAAUCAAAAGCAUCCAUUGUAUCAAUGUUCAUUAAAUUGAUGCUCAAACCACCAUCCACAUGAACACCCGAGGUCAUAACACCAUCAAUCAAAACAUCGAUGGUUGGUGCAUCUGGAUCAAGGUUCAAAUUGACUUCUCCAACUCCCUUAUUAUAUUGCCUAUAUCAUAUUAACGAUAAAUUUAAUGUACAACGAUACUCUAGUGCGACCACUAAAAGUUGCUUCAUAGAAAUAGAAGGCCAAAUAGCAUCUAGAUCCUUCAAAAUAUCAUAAGAUUCUAUAUUUAGGAUAAUUUCCAAUGCUCUCUUUCUUUUCAUUGGUUUGAGUUUCACUCCAUUGUCGAGGUAGAGAGAAUUUGCCUCAAAAAAGUACUAGACUUUUGGCUGCUACUAAAUACUCAAUCAAGUCUAAGAUAUAAAAAUAUCAUAUAUAUAUAUAAUAUUUUCUCUUUUUGGGAAAUUACAUCAAAAUAUAAGCCCAAAUACUAAGAAAACAUCCAAAUGUAUGAUAAAGUAUCUUAAAACCUUAUAUAUCCUUAUGAGAAAUGUUUCUCAAACUUCAACAGCUCAUAUCUCAUGAUCGGACCGUCCAAACAAUCCUAAAUUUUAAAAGAAGUAUUGAUAUACUUUCAAAAACUUUCACAAAAAAAUUCAACUACAAAUUCAUUACAGAUCUUGAGAUAUCGCCGAAACCCUAACAACAGCUGUAAACCCUAACUUACAUACACCCGCAUACUAAUUUCUUCAUAUCUCACAAAAUAAAUACUCAAAUACCAUGAAAUUUUUAUUUAAAGCUUUUUAACUUAUUAACUCAUACUUAUAGAAAUUUUGAGCCAAAAAUUCAUCUUUAAAUUCAAGAUAUGGCUCCAACCAUUACUAUCAACAAAAUAACUAACUUAUUGACUUUGAAUUAUAUGUGCUGUCUCCAAUGCCCUAUAACACCUUCAUCUAGACUUGAAACUCGUCAAAUAGUAUCUAUUAAGUAUAGUUAAGAAAGUGUUCUCUUCAACUUUAGUUUUCGAUGUCGUAAUACAUGAAGUCUUACUUGAGCAUGCUCCGAGCACUUCGCUGUGGAAGGAAGAAUGGAAAUUGUAAUAACAAAAUCCUAAUUCUAAUAGAAUAUUAAUAAUACUCUAAUUAGACUUUAAUAAUGCUAAAAAAGCUUAAUCAAAUUCAAAAAAACCUCAAAGAAAUUUCAAACAAACAAUAAGAAUUCUUAAAGAAACAUUAGAAAGAAUACAAAUAUCACUCAAAUACAUCUCAAUUCAAUCUUAAUUUAAUUCUAGUUAAAAUCCUAUUGAACUCCAUUCAAACUUUAGGCCAAAACUAAUUGAAUCUUAAAUCCUAAUAAAAUCUUAAAUCCUAAAUCAAACCCUAAAUAAACCUUAAAUCAAAUCCCAACCAAAUCCUAAACCAAAUCCUAAUCUAAAUCUUAAACCCUAAACCAAAUCCUAAUUCAAAUUCUAAACUCUAAAUCAAAUGCUAAUAAAACCCUAAAUCUUAAAUCAAGCCCUAACCAAAUCCUAAACUAAUCCCUAAUCUAAAUUCUAAAUCCUAAAUCAAAUCUUAAAUCCUAAAAUAAACCCUAAUCAAACCCUAAAUCCUAAAUCAAAUCCUAACCAAAUCCUAAACCCAAAAUAAAAUCCUAACCAAACCCUAAAUCAAACCCUAAUCCAAAUCCUAACCAAAUCCUAAAUCCUAAAUCAAAUCCUAAUCUAAAUCCUAAAUCCUAAAUUAAAUCCUAACCAAACCCUAAAUCCUAAAUCAAACCCUAAUCCAAAUCCUAAAUCAUAAACCAAACCCUAACCAAACUCUAAUAAUUCCUAUAAUAGAUUUAAAACUCAAUAAUUAAUGAAUAAACUAUUGAUCUUAACUCAAAUUUUUCAUAUUUCUAAAAAAACUAAGUUAAAAACAAGCAAAAAAAAAUUGAUAAGGAUCAGAGUUACCAAAUUGACGAUAACCUCAAAAAUAUGCUCGGAUAUUGGCCAGCCUCCUUCUCCAAUCUUGAUGCCGAUCUUCCAGAGCCAAUAUCACUCCUAUGCACCGUUCGAUUGAUUUCAAAAUUUUUAAACACAUAGAAAAACAAAUCUCAUAUCCUUUCACAUAAGUUUCAGUCCAAUCCAAUCAGUAGAUUGCAAGAAAACUCAAAAACCCCCACUGGACUUAAAAUUCUACUUUCUGAGAUCUUGACCCACUUAAACCUUAAUAUUCCUCAAUUCAAUCGUUAGAUCAAGGUCAAAUUCACAACACACAUUAAACACAACUAUAACCAUAAAGCCACAAAAUUUCACUCGUAGAUCUAUACAAAACUCUCGAAAUCAUCCAAAACGUAAAUCCUAUUUUUUUUCAUAGAACCUAAGUCAACCGAAACAAACCUUGACUUUGCAAAGCUCUUACGAAGUCAAAUCAACUUUAAAUCACCCAAAAUCAAUGCUCAUAGAAAGCCUAUUCAGUCUGCUAUCAAAUCUCAUUCUUUGAUCUCCAAAAGAACUCUGGAAUCGUCAUUAAGAUUCAAUUUUGUGCCCUAGGAUCCGAUUUCGACCCUGGUUCAUAACCGGCUCUGUCUGGGUAUCAAUAUCUAGUUUUUCUAAGUAAUUUUUCUAGAAUUUACUCUUAACUUCUUCCUAAAAAUGUCCAUAUCAUUUAUUUUUCCAAUCUACUUUGAUUUGCCUUACUUAUGGUAUUACAAAGUAAGUAGAAGUCACCUUUCUAAAAGGCAGCAUUGGUACCUUUUAAUUUUUCUAUUCCUUUGACUACUAACUAUAUUUCUAAGAUAAUUUUUUCUAAUAAUUUGAACUAAGUUCUCUUAUAUUAUAAUAAUCUCUAUAUUCUUUCACCUAUUAGUCGUGUUACAUCACGACACCGAUCUUUCAUUUCUCUCCGUACGCACAUAUUAUGCUUCAAAGAGUGACAAUAAGUACAAAUUUGACACCUUAACUUUGAACACCUAUAUCUCCUUCAAAAAAACUCGAAAUCACACAAACUCUUCAUCCAAAUUAUACCCAAAAUCCUGAACUAGCUGCCUCUAACUUCCAAAGCUCAAAUAACUUCGAAAGAGAAACCCUAAUUCCUAAUAAGGCCUCAGGCAGCCUCCUUGAAGUCCAUUGAGUAUGGCGUUCUACCAAUAGGAAUGAAGUUUCCCAUUCCUUGGCUUCAUCCGACCAUGCCUUGCUUUCAUUCCUCCCAAUAAGCCUCCUAUUAGUUAAGAUUUUCUUCUUUAGGCUCUAAUCUCUUCUCAAGGCUUUAUACUAAACAUUUAGGUCUUACAAUUGUUUUAAAUGUUAUAAUAAAAAAAGAUAAAACUCAAAAUAAAAUUUCUUAAAUCCACUCUCUUUAAACUAAUCUAUUAACCAUUCUAACAUAUAUCUAGAUUUAUUAACAUAUAAUAUAUUUUAACUAAUUUUUACAUACUGUAAGCUUUUACAGUAUGACACCAUGAGAUAAAAGAGCUUCCUUAAAAUUCCCGCCCCUGAGAGGAUCUUUCAACGGAUAGGAAGUUUCUUAGAACUGUAUAGAGAAUGAAAUUACUUGGAACAAAAUUGAAGCCUUUGUAAUCGAGACCUCAUUAGAUUGUGCAACCAAGUCGGGUCUCAUACUAGGUAAGAAGCGUGUAACAGGACCUCUAUUAGAUGGCCCCGUAAUUGGAUCAAAUUGGACCUUCGCAUCAGGAUCACCCAAAUGUUGAAUUGGUCCUUUCUCCUUUUGUUGACUCCUGAUAAGAACGACUUGAAUACAUUCUAUCUGAUUUACCAAAGAAUCUUAAAGACCUUGAUUUAUCUCCUCAAUUUUUUCUUCACUUUGAUCUUGCUGAUCUCAAUUCUUAGAAUUGAACGGAGCAUUACAUUGCUGAUACAUAUGCCCCAACUGCUUGUAAUUUCCACAAAUUGGCACAUAAUCAUCACAAGCUCUGGAAUUGGAACAUUUACUAGCAUAAUAAUCAAUUUGUUUGCAAUUGAAACAACAAAGUAGUCUUCUUGUACCCUCCAUCAAGUAUAUUGGGUAUCUCUAUCAGUAUAUACCUACUAGGCUUGUUCCAUAUGGGAUUAAAAAGUAAUCCUGGUUGUCUCAGUUGUACGAAGGAAACUUUGUUCGAUGGCAUUGUCAUAUUGUAAUAUGAAUAUAUGGUAAAAGAUGAUAAUAUGGAUCUUAUUAUAGAAGAACCAAGUUAAAAAAUAAAGUAGAAAUAUAUAGAUAAAAGAUAGGGAGGUAGUAAAACUUUUAGUUGUAAUGCUACCUUUUUAGAAAAGUGACUUCUAAUUACUUUGUAGAGCCAUAAAUAAGGUAAAACAAAGUAGAUUGGAAAAAUAAAUAAUGUAAGCAUCUUAAGAAGGAAGUUAAGAGUAAAUUCUAGUAAAAAUUAUUUAGAAAAACUAGAUAUUGAUACUCGAAGAGGGCUGGUUAUGAACUAGGGUUGAAAUCAGAUCCCAAGGCACAAAACCAAGUGUCGACGACAACUCCAUGACUCUUUGGCAAAUUGGAGAGUAUGAUUUGAUAGCAAACUUAAUAAGAUUUUUAUGAGCAUUUUUAGAAUAAGUAGUUAUUUUCAGAAUGUAGAUACCUAGUGUAUAAUAUAAACAAGGAUAGAUAAUUGCUGAAAAGGUGGUUUAGUAGGUAGAAUGGAUGAAUAGUCAGGAAAAGUAGUUAUCAUCUGUAGUACAAGAGUUGGUAUCUCAAGAUAGUAUAAGGAGGAUGGGAGAGGGAAAGAAAAUACCAGAUUGUGAGAGUUGUGAGCCGAGGUAAGCUUGGUGCUAUCUCUUUUCUUUUGUUUGUUAUUUUCUUUGAAUAAGAAGAUUGAGAGUUUCUGAAUAUUGUGAAGUGAAUUAUGGAAUGGAAAUGUGAUUGGUAUUAUUUGAGAAGAAGAAAGAUUGAAUGCUGAAAUCUGAUUAUGGUUCAACAGAGAGAAUGAGUCUGUGUUUGUGUGAAACAUUGUAAUGUGAAUGGCAGUUCUGUGUGAAGAAUUCCAGUGAUUGGAACGAGGGUAAUUGUGUGUUGAAAGCUGUGAGGGCGCAAUAUUAUAGUUGGAGAUUAUGAGGGUGAAUAUAUUGGUAGAAAUAGCAGUUAUUGGUAUGAUUGAAUUGCUGUAAGGAAGAGACCAAUAAGGUGAAGGAGGAGAUUAUAGUUUCCUUGUGUGUUCAGAUAUUAGAAAUAGAGAUGAUACAUUCAGGAGGUAAUUGAUUGUGUGACCCUAA